GAUGAAGAACGCAGCGAAAUGCGAUAAUUAAUGUGAAUUGCAGAAUUCAGUGAAUCAUCGAGUCUUUGAACGCACAUUGCGCCCCCUGGUAUUCCGGGGGGCAUGCCUGUCCGAGCGUCAUUGCUGCCCUCAAGCACGGCUUGUGUGUUGGGCCUCCGUCCUCCUCCCGGGGGACGGGCCCGAAAGGCAGCGGCGGCACCGCGUCCGGUCCUCGAGCGUAUGGGGCUUCGUCACCCGCUCUUGUAGGCCCGGCCGGCGCUUGCCGACACAUCAAUCUUUUUUCCAGGUUGACCUCGGAUCAGGUAGGGAUACUCGCUGAACUUAAGCAUAUCAAUAAGCGGAGGA
rnacentral:misc_RNA from 1 species